GACGAACGCUGGCGGCGUGCCUAAUACAUGCAAGUCGAGCGCAGGAAAUCGACGGAACCCUUCGGGGGGAAGUCGAUGGAAUGAGCGGCGGACGGGUGAGUAACACGUAAAGAACCUGCCCUCAGGUCUGGGAUAACCACGAGAAAUCGGGGCUAAUACCGGUUGGGUCAUCGGACCGCAUGGUCCGAGGAUGAAAGGCGCUUCGGCGUCGCCUGGGGAUGGCUUUGCGGUGCAUUAGCUAGUUGGUGGGUAAUGGCCGACCAAGGCGACGAUGCAUAGCCGACCUGAGAGGGUGAUCGGCCACACUGGGACUGAGACACGGCCCAGACUCCUACGGGAGGCAGCAGUAGGGAAUCUUCCACAAUGGACGAAAGUCUGAUGGAGCAACGCCGCGUGAACGAUGAAGGCCUUCGGGUCGUAAAGUUCUGUUGUAAGGGAAGAACAAGUGCCGCAGGCAAUGGCGGCACCUUGACGGUACCUUGCGAGAAAGCCACGGCUAACUACGUGCCAGCCGCCGCCGUAA
rnacentral:rRNA from 1 species